UGGGGAAUAUUGCACAAUGGGCGCAAGCCUGAUGCAGCCAUGCCGCGUGUAUGAAGAAGGCCUUCGGGUUGUAAAGUACUUUCAGCGGGGAGGAAGGCGAUAAGGUUAAUAACCUUGUCGAUUGACGUUACCCGCAGAAGAAGCACCGGCUAACUCCGUGCCAGCAGCCGCGGUAAUACGGAGGGGGCAAGCGUUAAUCGGAAUUACUGGGCGUAAAGCGCACGCAGGCGGUCUGUCAAGUCGGAUGUGAAAUCCCCGGGCUCAACCUGGGAACUGCAUUCGAAACUGGCAGGCUAGAGUCUUGUAGAGGGGGGUAGAAUUCCAGGUGUAGCGGUGAAAUGCGUAGAGAUCUGGAGGAAUACCGGUGGCGAAGGCGGCCCCCUGGACAAAGACUGACGCUCAGGUGCGAAAGCGUGGGGAGCAAACA
rnacentral:rRNA from 1 species